GUUAAAUUGUGUGUCAACGUUGUGUGUAGUCUUUCCUUUGCAUUAGGUUUUUCGCGGAAUGCAUUACCAGUUGACAGCCUAUCACAUGAUGCGUACUCUGUUUACAUCACAUUUGUCUUUAGUUUACUCGUUUGUUUUACGACCUAAUUACGAAAUGCCGGCGUGUUACAUUUUCAACAUUUGACAUAACCCUGUAUGUUUUGUAGGGACAACCCAGGACGUGUAUUUCUCAGCACCCAGUCAACUGCCAGAAGUGACUCAAACACAGGCCACCAGUGGCACUCAGCUGUACCACUGCACUGCUGCUAAAAUUGCCAGCACCAGCGGCUUUGUAACAGCUGUUUCACAGCAUCUCGGAGACAAUGCCUACGAAAUUAUUGGUCCUGAUGACGAGAGCCCUCAAGGGGCAAACGACAUCUCUGUUGCAGAAGUGAGCCCGAUACCACCUGAAGUUAACAUGACCGAUGACACGGCUGCAAUAGAUACAGAGACUGCCAUGUCUACUGGAGCUGCAACAGUGUACGAGGGAAUCAGCAGCACGUCAGCAUCAGCAGUAGUGUCAGAAGGAACCGAACCAGGCCUGGUAGGGCAACAUGUGUGCUACCACUGUGACUUUUUUGUAGUGCAUACACCUCAUCUGCUCAACAUACGAAAGCUUUUCACCACGACUGCGAGCCAGUGUUCUUGUGCAGUGAGAGCAAGACUAUGUUUGGUGUUAUAACACAGUAUAAGCAUCACUUUAAAAUAUGCAAACCUAUUACAGUUGUUGCCUCCCCGGCCAGCCCACAUAGUGACAACAAUGUGGAACGCAUGGUGGGACACACCUCUCCCCCAUUAGAAGAUAGUAGAGAGACUGUCAGUGUGGUUGCUAGAUUAACUGGUCAUUGUAGCCGACUAGAAGGACAACACAGGUGUCAUAAGAUUGUUGUUGAUGUUGUUGCUGAAGAGGUAAAAAAGAUGUUUGAUGCAGCUGAAGCAUUGAUAUUGAGCAAAUGAAAAGUGACCGCCUGAGAAAGCUACACUACCGAAAUGUGGGUAUCUAUAUGCCGCCAACUCUGGUAAAGCUCACAGGGAAGCAAAGACUUAUGUUGUACAGUUAGCAAACCUCCUUCAAAAUGUGCUAGGGCUCCCAAACAUUGUUGACUAUGUAAGGAAGCCCUGCGGAAUGGAGACUGACUCUGUACUUAGUGACUUCUGGGAUAGAACAAGGGUUCAUUCGCAUCCCAUUUUUAACAUACACAAGAAAAUGUUGUUCUUCUCAACCUGUAUUAUGAUGACAUAGAACUUGCUAACCCGAUUGGUACCAAAAGAGGCAAAUUGGGCAAGCUCAGUGUAAUUUAUUUAACAAUAUUAAACCUGCCACCUUCUCAGCGUUCUAAACUGUCUAGCAUCUUUUUGAUGCGGGUUGGUCACACAGCUGACCUGAAGAAGCAUAAUGCCCAGUUAAAUUUUUUGAAGAUUUCAUUCAAGUGUUGAGAGUGCUCGCCAACGAAGGAAUCAUCUUUGAUACAGACAGAGGCCGUGAAAGGUUUUUUGGUGCUGUGAUGACCGUUACAGGACAUUCUUUAGCUGCCCACUCCUUAGCAGGUUUAAAGAAUCUUUUGGCCCAACUGCGUUUCGAUCCUGUUGAACUUGCCUUGAACCGUCAUAUAGUUAUGCGCAACAUGUUCGACAUGGAGUGUGUAACCUGAGAUCGGAGAGAAAUCAAGUUGCAAAUGCAGGAACUGAAACAAAUAGCAUCAGUUUCAAAUAGGAAGCAGCUUUCCAAAGAAUUUGGGAUCAACGGAGAAUCAGGGCUGACCUCAUUUCCUUUUUUUUUGUUGACAAAAGAUAUUUUGUAUCACCCGAUGCAUAUCCUGCAACCACUCCAUGUGACCACUUUCCAUGUUAUUCUGCAUGAUACAGCUCAACCUCCAGAAACGAGACCACAACUUGUCUGUAAAAAGCCUUCACAAAAAAUUAUUCAUAACACUAUUAACACAGCAGUAUUUUAUUGUGGGUUUGAGGUUUCCGGAUGUUCAUUAAUGCAAAAAGUGA
rnacentral:lncRNA from 1 species